UUUCUUGUAUAUUUCAAUCAUAAGUAGAUAUGUCUAAAUUUAACUCUCAGAUUACUAUGCUAUUCAUUGUUUUAGCUUUGGUGUGUGCGUUUGUUCCGGCUUUCUCAGUCGAAGAAGCAGAAGCAAAUUUUUAUUAUGGAAAACUUGUCUUGUUAAAAUUACUCCUAAAUGUGCGUUGGAUAUAAUCGCUGCUGUCUUUGAAAAUGGAACAAUGCCUGAUCCUUGUUGCAACGAUCUCGUCAACGAAGGAAAAGUGUGUCACGAUACGCUUAUUAAAUAUAUUGCUGAUAAACCCAUGUUAAUUGCCCACGAAACUGAAUACUUGAAGAAGAGUGAUAACUUGUGGAAACAUUGUGUCUCAAUAUCCGAAAGUGCUUGAAAUAUGUAAUAUUU
rnacentral:sRNA from 1 species